CCUUAGACUCAGCUGGCUUCUUGUGAUGUUUCUUGUGUUUCUUCCCCAUGUUAAGAGCGAUUUAUCAAGCCAGAAACAGCAGAAUAAUACAAAAAUAAACUACUAAAAAGACUACAUGUUUUCAGACAUUUUUGAAAAUUUCACACAAAAGCACAAACGAACACGCGGUUCUUUGUAAACACUGUUGCGGAUACUUUAUGUAAUUUACACCAAAUGAACAUUAGUAAUCCAGGCCCGAUUUUAGGGCGGUGUUCUUU